GUGGGAGGGGGCUUGCCCUCGAUGGCGGCCUGUCAGUUAGCUUGUCUGUAGCUGACCCACCGCUAUCGGGGGCAAGCCCCCUCCCAC
rnacentral:misc_RNA from 1 species